ACUCCUACGGGAGGCAGCAGUGGGGAAUAUUGCACAAUGGGGGAAACCCUGAUGCAGCCAUGCCGCGUGUGUGAAGAAGGCCUUCGGGUUGUAAAGCACUUUCAGUAGGGAGGAAGGUAGUGUAGUUAACACCUGCAUUAUUUGUACGUUACCUACAGAAGAAGCACCGGCUAACUCCGUGCCAGCAGCCGCGGUAAGUACGGAGGGUGCGAGCGUUAAUCGGAAUUACGUGGGCGUAAAGCGCAUGCGAGGCGGCCUGUUAAGUCAGAUGUGAAAGCCCGGGGCUUAACCUCGGAAUUGCAUUUGAAACUGGCAGGCUAGAGUCUUGUAGAGGGGUUAGAA
rnacentral:rRNA from 1 species